CUUCGAGGAGGAGAUCCUCGGGGCGUCUUCAAGUGACAACUCCGCUCGCUUGUCUUAUGUCCAACCAAGUGAAAGUUCCAUUUGAGAUGCAGCCACCAAAACAUGCUUAUGGCCUUGCAAUGAUUAUAUGAUGCGUGUAGGCAUUAAGGAGGAAUUUGAGCAAUAUGUUCACAAUGCCGGUCUCGGUCCCCACAUUUCAGAUAAGUGCGAACAACACCACACUCUCACUUAAUCAUUUGUCAAAGGAUUUAAGUUCCAUCCCCGCUCUAUGAAAAUCCAUUUACCAUUUCACUAGAGAGUUUUGCUCACCACUGCAAACUCCCAUUCUGGGGUUUGCUUGACGAACCGCCAAGGGCUGAGUACCAAUCAUUCUUGACUAGUCUUUGCUAUGGUGAGACGAGGGGAGUGACACAAGGUAGAAUAAAGAGCAUUCAUUUUCCUGCAAUUUACUAGUUUGCAUUAUUUAAUGGGAAAUGUAAAGUAGGCAAACAAGACUGUAGUACACUUUGUGCUCCAGACUUGAGCGUCAUACGCACCUCUCUCACCGGUGAAAGGAGUUAUAACCUUGGAGCGAUUAUUGCACGCAGACUGCAGCAUAACGCUAAUAGUGGCUAUUUCUAUGGUGGAAUAUAUGCCACACAUUUAGCACGAUGGUUGGAUGUUUCACCUUUUCCCUUUGACCCUAUCCCAGCCACACAGUAUUUAGACUUUAAUGCUUUGAAAAGUCAUAAGAUCCUCAAAGGAAAAAUUCAUAACUUCACUUACAAUCUGUUGUUUAACCAAAUAUCUGUUGUGCACACAUAUUUGCUUGCGCUUACUUUUUUUGACUAUCACAGCAAGGGAAGAUAUUUUAUUCUUGAGAGCGAGGCCCGAGCUCACAACGCGGCGGUGGAGGCAGCACGGCAAGCUGAGGCAUCCGCACCGAGAGCCUCCGUGAGCUACCACGCCAACUACUAUCUAGACUACUGAUUGAUUACCAAGCUAGUCCAAAAUCCUAAGCUUGGGGGAGAAACCAAGCCAACGUUGCAAAGAAAAGGAAAUCAGAUCUUCCCACGAUUGAAUAGAAGAUCCUCCCACGAUCGAAUUUAUGGCUACCUCUUCCAGUUAGCGGCGUCCUUGCAGUUCUCUGUCGCAUCACGAUCUCAUCCAUUGUACAUAUCCUCGUCAACCAUGUGGAUGUAGUUCUCCCUCACGUCACAUGGCCGUGGCGAUAUCAUCCAUUGCUCCAUCUUCCCGUCAAGCACGUUGCUGCCGCAUGUCCGUUCUCUUGCUGUCCAGCCGCUCAAAUUAGUGCACAUGGAGAAAGAAGGAACUGCAGUAAUCAGCGACGUGGUGAACCAGGCAGUCGACAAUGUAUAAUCUGUUGCAGGUUAGCCCUUAAUUAAUCCCUAAGUCGACUUGGUUUUCCUUCCGUAAUAGGCCAGACCAAUCUGUGAUGUCAGGACGAAGUGCUAAGAAUAGAAGGAGGCUAGGCAGGUAUUGCACUCUUUAUUUGUUUGGCUCUAAUUCUCCUAUGUCUUCUUUCUUUUAGUUAUUAGUUCUCUCGCUAAAGCUGGAAGGUCAAUGUAUUCUGAAAUUUUGAUCCUCUCUCUGGUCAGUUUUUUCUGUAAAAUACCUUUCUUUGUUGAAUAUAUCCAGCCAAAGAUAGAUUUUAAUUCAAAGGAUUUGAUUUUAGUAGUUUACCUCUAUCUUGACCAACAUAAAUAAUUCAUCAGAGGAUUGGUUUCUUCCUUUUAUUAUAGUGCUACAGAUUACAGAGAAUGGCCCUAACUCUGAAGAUACCAUGUUAAUUGAUUUACUUUUCUCAUGCUCCAUUGAUAUUUGUAGGGGUUCAAAUUUUCAAUGUUUUUUGUUCUGCAGGGUUUUGGACAUGUUAAUUCGAACAUUGUUGUACAAAUAAUCACACUGUGUAAACAUCCAAGUCUUCUUGCCCGUUAGCACACACACACACACACACACACACACACACACACACACACACACAUAUAUAUAUAUAUUACACUACUUGGAAUUUUAGUUUCUUACAUUUUACUUGCUUUUCGAUCAAAUGUAGUUGACAUCUCUUAUGCAAUUGAACUGGAGCGAUCUGCUCACCUUAUAAUAUAAGAAUUUGGUAAAAUUGAGAUCAAUUUGCAAAAAGAAGGAAAGAAGAGACAGUAAAGCAAGGAUUGCACACCUCUCUUUAUGAUAGAUAUUGUUAAGACGCGAAAGAAUAACAGGCGGGAGUGCGGGAUAACAGUCAAGGAAGUAGAUGUUGUUGUCUGGACUACGGACAGUGUGAGAGCUAGCUUGCAAAUCUGAGCCAUGGUCCAUUAGGGGAAGGAACGCGGAAGAUUACCCAAAUGUAGACAUCCACCAUUUGUUUGCCCCGAAAGCAGCAUAAGUUCGUCCUCAACCCCAUCACCUUCAUCACCGAUGUGUUCAACAUAGGUAUGUGGUUGUCGAAGCCCUAUGCACCUUAUCUAUAUUCAAAUUAUUGUCAAGCAAUCAGCUUGCUCCCUAUGUUCUGUUGUGCCGCGAUGCAGUCUAGGUAUUUGAAGAAUUGUUAAGUUGCUGAAUUUUUAACAGCAGUAGAAGUAUGCAUUAAGUUUGUAUCGGAACAAUUUUCAAGUUUAUGGCGCGAUCAACUUGCAAGAAAAAAAUUGUAUGCAUCAAAGAUCUAAGUAUCAAUCUCAGUGUUCUGCUUCUACUAUCAGCGUACAAGCAGCUAUGUAACUGCCCUAAAUCACGUGCACUGUAGAGAAAGGAUAUUUAUUUUCGGGGAAAUAGCAAUUAGACUACGUGUGUGCUGAAGUCUGGUGACUAGCCUGAUGACUCCUUUUUCUGUGAAAAUGAAAGUAGUCCGGACUCCUGUUUCUGUAGUGCUUCAACGUACACGAGAUUCCCAACAAAAAUAGUGCUUCACGUGAGAUAACUAACUUUCUCUACCCAUUACUAUAAAAAACAUUCUACCCAGAUUGAAAAUAGAUGUGUACGUACUUACAUAUAUAAAGAGUGGGACAAAGAGAUUAGCAAAAUACUUUGUUUAACAAAAAAGUAUCCCUAUAAUAUUUUUUUUUGCUGUAGCAUACAAUAGCAUGCUACGUUAUAAUAAAUCAUGGGUGUGAACAUCUAGGUACCAACAAUUUAUAUUUCAUUCUCACAAAAAAACUAAUAGAUUCUAAAAAUAGGUAUCUUCAUGAAAAAAUAGUAAUGUGAUGGAUCACAUGAACGCAUAUAUAAAGGUGCAUAAGAAAAUACCACAUCCUAAAUAUGCAGUCAGUGUUUAAAACCUUUUGAGCACUAACAUAUUCACUAUAUCUAAGUAGGACAUGUAUGAAUAGCAGCAUCAUAUUGACUACAAAAUACCCUCUUUACCCUGUCAUGUUACUAUUUUUUUAUGUAUUAUGUUUUGCGAAUGGGAAAAGUGCAAAUAAUGAAGUGUACCAUACACUGUAUAAUUAUACUAGAAGGACACAUAAGCCAAAAUGGAAAAGUCCCUCAACUCUUGGGGAAUAUUAUCCGAACCAUGUAUGCUCGAUGUGUGCAAUUUGCAAUAGUAAAUGAGUAGAAGGAGGUUAAUGGAAUGACAAGCGAACAAUCUAGCAAUUUAUUUAUGGAAAACCAGGAUAGUGAGAGGGUGACCCAUACAACCAUCAGGGAAAAGCUGCGGGACUCUAGAGAAAAUGUGACUAUCCGAUGGUAGCUAAAUUUGAUUCAUAGUAGUUAUUUUGUUAAAGGAGACCAAUGCAUGCAUGUAGUGAUGAGCAAGGUAAUUGAGUUAGAUUUUAUUUCUAAAUUAGGGAUAUGAGAGAAUGCAAUAAAACUAGGAUGUUAAAUAUGUCAAUAUAAUUAUGUAAGUACUCCCUCCGUUCCUUUAUAUAAGGUGUAUUUGUUUUUUGAUAAAAUUCCACAAUGUAAGGUGUAUUUCAUCUAAUUCCCCAUAAUCCCUUUUUUAUCCCUGUAUAAAAAGGCAAGUAUCUCUCUCCUGAUUGUUUGUAUCUCUCUUUAUAGAAAAAUAAGGAAAGUAUGUUAGAGAGACAUAUAUGUAUUUUCACAUGUGCAUACUCAAAUGCAAAAUAAAAUACAAAGUUUAUCACCAGAAAUAGUAGGCACAUCUAUAUAAUCCCACUGGUGACAUAUAUCAUGUUUAUCUGGAGCAAUUAGCUCGAUGAGAUAUGUUAUGAAGGAGCUAAUGAGGUCGAUGAGCUCAGGGUGGAGAGAAUAGAGAAAAUACUAGCCAUCAAAUUUGUUGACAUCUUUUAAAUAAUCUGCUAUGUUGAGUAUACGAUGAGUCCUAAUUACAAAGGUUCAAAAGAAAAAAAUGGAUGUGUAUUGGCAGCUAAUUAAAUCAACUUUGAUGGUGAUCAAUAUCAAAACAAUAUGUUUGUAUGCAAUGCAGUUCAACACAGUCAUUAUUUAUGCCACCGGAUUAUCAAUAUAUGAUAGAUGACCAUAAAAUAACUACAUCAAACCCAAGUUGGCUUCCACGGGAGUAAGAAUGCAAGAAGUGUUUCUAAUCUAUGAAGAUCAAUUAUUUUCCAAAACAAAUGUUCGGUAAAAGAUGAUGUCAACGUAAAAGAGGAGUACAUACCACAGUAGAAAUAUUAGUACGAGUAUGAUAACAAUAUUGACAGAGUAGUAUGUUGAACUAAAUACCAUUAAUUAUACCAUAAAUAUAAUUAUAAAAAGUUAAGAUCAUAUUUAAAACAAUAAUAUUAAAAUUUAGUUCUUGAUCAAAAUUUCUUUACAGAACACUAAAAAUAUCAGAAAGUGUUUGUUCUCAAAUGAUGUUAUUGUCACCCAAUGAUGUAUGAUAAAAAUAGAUUGAGAUAAAUGUAUCAAAUUGCACAAAAUUAGUUCUUAGUAUUUAAAAUAUUUUAGAUUUUCCAUUUGAAAUAGUACAUAUUUUUCAAUAAUUUAAUUUAUAUAUAACAUUUGAUAUGGUAUUUUAUAUGAUUAUAUUGAUCAAACCUUUAAUAUUAGACACUCUCAAUGUCUAAAAAAGAUUUGUAAAUAUAUGUCAAAAAAUCUACUCGCGCAAAUGUGCGGGUCACCCUGCUAGUUAAUAUUAAAAAGAAAACCCAAAAAGAUUUCCUUGUUCUUCUUUUGCUUGUUGGGAGCUUUCCCGUGUAAAUAGUUUUCUCGUUUUUGUUUUUCCCUUUUAU